ACGGCCGUACCAUGCAGAAUAUACCGGUUCUCGUUAGAUCACCGAAGUUAAGCAUCAUUGGGCGCGGUCAGUACUUGGGUGGGUGACCACCUGGGAACAACA
rnacentral:rRNA from 1 species